GACGAACGCUGGCGGCGUGCUUAACACAUGCAAGUCGAACGGAAAGGCCCCUUUGGGGGUACUCGAGUGGCGAACGGGUGAGUAACACGUGAGUAACCUGCCCUUGACUUCGGGAUAACUUCAGGAAACUGGGGCUAAUACCGGAUAGGAAUCCUUGCUGCAUGGUGGGGGUUGGAAAGCUUCGGCGGUUUUGGAUGGACUCGCGGCUUAUCAGCUUGUUGGUGGGGUAGUGGCUUACCAAGGCUUUGACGGGUAGCCGGCCUGAGAGGGCGACCGGCCACAUUGGGACUGAGAUACGGCCCAGACUCCUCGGGAGGCAGCAGUGGGGAAUAUUGCACAAUGGGCGGAAGCCUGAUGCAGCAACGCCGCGUGCGGGAUGACGGCCUUCGGGUUGUAAACCGCUUUCAGCAGGGGCGAAGCUUGUGGUGACGGUACCUGCAGAAGAAGCACCGGCUAACUACGUG
rnacentral:rRNA from 1 species